AUUCUUCCAUGUAGAGAACAUUGCAUUGAUAUAUUCACUGAGGCUUGCUGAACAAACAAUGGAUGUGAGCACCAUGAGGCGGUGGGUGGUGCAUUUCAGCAGUGGUCACAGAAAAAGUGGGCAACCUCUGCUCAUGUAGAUUCUUAUGAGUGUGGCAUGUAAACUCUUUUUCAUCACUGGCAAAAAUGCAUAGCUAAUGGUGGUGACUGUGUUGAAGAAUAGUGUUUUGUAGCUGAGAAUUUGCUCUAUCAAAUAGUGUUAUUGUUCUCUUUGUAUCUGCUGUUGUUUCUAUGGAAAUAAAUAGGAGGCAUUACUUUUGGAGCAACAGUCAUAUUUUUGCAUCUAGAAUACCCAUAAUGGUUUCCAUAAUGUCAUCCCUCAGGAGGUGAAGGUUUGAGGUUUGCGUCCUGUAUGUCCAGGUAUUUGUUUGCAGUACUUCAGUCAUCAAAACUUUCAGUCUCCUGGAAAGGGUCAUGGACUUCUAGGAGAGAGAAUGCUGAACCAAGAGUGAUGGAACCAGCUUAUUUCCAAUUUUGUAAGGAAACUGGUACAGCUACACUUUCUUCUGUAUAAUUAGGCCAAGAGAGGUUAUUUAAGUAGUUCAUACGUUUCUCUUCUCAAAUAUGGAAAUGAUCAUUUUGAAUUUUUGCUCUCCGUUCAGUUGGCUGUAGGAAUAGCUUUUAUAAUUUAUAAAAUUCAUGUCACUUCAGAAUUUCCUUUAUUCCUAGGAGAAUAAGUACCUCCAGAUUUUCCUUAGAACUUGUACUACUGAAACUAAUUCUUCAACACUCCUAAACCCCAACAUGCAAAUAUAGUCUCAUACUUUUAAAUACUUACAUAUAUUUUCCACUGCAUCCAGUAAUUCAGAUAGCCCUCUCUAUGUUGUUUGUUUUCUUUCAAGAAAAUCUACUUUGGGUUACAGUGUUUGUGGAAUAUCAUUCCUUAUAUUUCUAAACAGGAAAAUAAUAAUUACAUUAUAACUUUACAGUGGAAUGAAUAAGUGUGAGACAUAGCAGUCAGAUGUUUGUUUCAGUUGUGGUCUGUAUAGCCUUCAGUCCUCUAUUCAAACUGUAUUUUUUACUUACUGUGCACUUCCACAUUAUACUGUCAGAACUGGAUCUUCUACAUGUACAUGUGUAGUCUGAAAAUAACAGAAAGUUUAAAAUUUUUCAUCAGAAUGGUGUAAGCAGAAUAGAUUGCACUGUUCUUCAGUAGUACUGUCCAACAGAUCACACAUUUAUUUUUAUUGUCUUUAUUCUGCAGAGCUCAAGCCUCUUCUUGUAUCUUUUUGAUUAACACCAAUCAGGAAAUCCAGUUCUGUUUCCUGUUUUUAUAUCCAUACUGUGUAUUGUUCAAUUUAUGAAAAAUAGUCUCUGUAAUAGUCUCUGUAAUACUGUAUCAGACAAUAAAACAAUUUGCAUUGUACA
rnacentral:lncRNA from 1 species